CCUACGGGAGGCAGCAGUGGGGAAUAUUGGGCAAUGGAGGAAACUCUGACCCAGCGACGCCGCGUGCGGGAUGAAGGCCUUCGGGUUGUAAACCGCUUUCAGCAGGGAAGAAGCGAAAGUGACGGUACCUGCAGAAGAAGCACCGGCUAACUAUGUGCCAGCAGCCGCGGUAAUACAUAGGGUGCAAGCGUUGUCCGGAAUUAUUGGGCGUAAAGAGCUCGUAGGUGGUUCGUCACGUCGGAUGUGAAAAUCUGGGGCUUAACCCCAGACCUGCAUUCGAUACGGGCGAGCUUGAGUAUGGUAGGGGAGUCUGGAAUUCCUGGUGUAGCGGUGGAAUGCGCAGAUAUCAGGAGGAACACCAAUGGCGAAGGCAGGACUCUGGGCCAUUACUGACACUGAGGAGCGAAAGCGUGGGGAGCGAACAGGAUUAGAUACCCUGGUAGUCCACGCCGUAAACGGUGGGCACUAGUUGUGGGGACCUUCCACGGUCUCUGCGACGCNGCUACGCAUAGUGCCCGCCGUCGGGAGGUACGAGUCGCGAGAAGUUAAACGUUAAACGUAAAGUUAGUUAGUCGUUGUUGAGNGCGACGACGACGACGAGGAGGAGG
rnacentral:rRNA from 1 species